UUCUCCGGUUUCACAAUGAACAUGGCGGGUAAAAGCACCAUAGCUUGGUUUAGUGUAAACAAAUUAUCAAUAUGAGUACCUUUCAAAACCUUUCAUCCGUUCAGAGGACAAAGAAAAUGAUGACGACUUUGCUGGUGCGCAUGAUGCAGCUUCCUGGAUGGUGUGUAGGCUGUUUGUCAACAUGUGAAUCCCAUGUGCAUUUCGAGGUAGGAGUUAUCUCCCCUUGAAAAGAUCAAUAAUGGCGGAUAAACAAUGUGGCAUGCAGUCUGGUCACCAACGGACAGUUUUGACACUGUAUACCUGUAUUUCUACCAAUUACCUCAGUAACUCAUCACACAGAUGAUGGACCACUCUACUUCCUUUGACAACAGGUGCCCCUACAGAUUCACAAAGUUCCAGUGUUGAGUUUCCAUGACCCCUAUUAAUCAACGACAGGAAAAGGAAUAGAGUUGACAGGACUUCCCCCACUGUCCCUGGUAGCAGUUUAUGAGGGAACCAACCGCAGUAGACACAGCACGCUUCAUCAAAGAUGCACCAGAUGCAGCGGCACUGUCUCCAUCACUUGUGAAAUGGGAUAUGACUAGUGGCCGGUCAUCACUUUGUAACUCACCAACACAAUUAGCGGCCAAUCGCUUCUCGUCUCCAAUGGUGGUCUCCAGAGGAAUGGUUGCAGUGCAGUCUUCGUGUCCUUGGCAGGUCUGUUGCAUGUUGGUGGCUGACGCUGGUUUAAUAUAUGCACCAAGAAGCAUACUACACAUACCCUCUGUUGUAAGACUGGUACCCAGGUGACCGACAGCCAUGGCCACAUUCAGCUGUGCAGCUCUUCAUCCCCUGCCAGAUCUUCUCACCUCUUCGUAAAGCUUUUCUCGGUGACUGGUAUAGUGGCACUUCUUACAUCGAAUGUAAAGGAUCCGUGCAAGGCCUCGUUUUUCCUCCCCAUGCUGAUUCCAGUCCAGUUGACCAUCACAGUCUGGAAAAUUCUCUGCCAGGACUUCUAAGAGAAAUCCAUUCUUUGAUGACUGAUGGAAAAGCCUCAUCACCCCCCACUGCUUAAGAACCCCUUAUCUUAAUCACCAGCCAUUAAUCAGUGAUCACUGUUACCAAAGCUCCAAGGUGCGCAUGAUGCAGCUUCCUGGAUGGUGUGUAGGCUGUUUGUCAACAUGUGAAUCCCAUGUGCAUUUCGGGGUAGG